rnacentral:SRP_RNA from 1 species
CGGUGGGCCGAAGCUCGGGGACGGCGUUCGGAACUGCGCGUCGACCUGGUCUUGGGCGUCGAAGUCCUGUCCUGCUGGGUCGGCGGCGGUAGGGCCUCGGUCGCAAGGCCGGGGAGAACUACCCCAACCUGUCGAACCCCCCAGGGGCGGAAGUCAGCAAGGGUGGGCAGGACGUGCUGCGCUGGCAGUCAACGGGAUGGAGCUUGGGGCCAGCAAUCGGCGCGCGGGGAAGACGACAACUUCGAGCGUGCUCGCCG